rnacentral:rRNA from 1 species
AAGUUUAGGUGCCUUAGUGUGCCUUGAUCGGGAGAGGAGAGGGCGUUGGGAUGGCGACGAGGAGAGGACACGCGGCGCAACAACCAGACGGAGAGCUAGUAUUCGGGGAAAGGGUGACAAACGGUGACAAACCCCGUUCUGUGUUUUACCCCAAUACUAUCUUCAGUUGGUUGGUCCCCCAAUAGUAGUUUAGAGGGGGGUGAGUCCUAUGUUCCCCUUCUUCCGUCCCAGAUCCACGAUGAGGCCGCGCCGCCGUCUAGCUUCGUUUGGGAGGAGAGGAGUUCUACCAGUUCUUCUACUUGUUUUCUUUUUCCUACCAAUCCCCUCGGCGACAAAAACAGGUGUGGUCGGGUGUGGUCGACUGGUCGUAUCGCGUUGUGCGUCAUCGGGUCGUAGGUCCUUGAGUGCCGUGUCUGUUGUUUGUGACAAAAGAGAUCGCCGGCCGCGGGCGGUGGCCUAGCAGUGUGUCCCGUGUCGUCGGUCGGCGGGGGGCGAGGGCGACCGGUCGCCGUGUUUAGCCGGCGGCGGGUACCUGCUGAUCGGGUGGCCGUCGGUCGUCGCACUGCUGCCGCUCAGCCGGCUGGGUGUAUUCGACGUGUCGAUUAAAAGAAACUAAGUAAGGUUUAAAGAAAGUAAAUCCAAUAACAGAUAAGCAUACACCUGACACCACCGUAUUUAUUUGGUGACUUUUAGAAUAACAAAUGUAAAAUACGUUUCGGUAACAAAUGUCAAAUAUGUUUCCGUAAUAAGACAUGUAAAACUGUUUUUUUUUUGUUAGGUCAAACCGUCAUAGUUAUUAAGUGAGUUAAGGAGACACCAAACUAUAGAGGUUCGAAAACAUUACCGAUUGAUUUUAUCAGAUUACCCCUUUGACAUAACGCCAUAACGAAGAAAACAAAUAUAGAUGAGUGAACUAGAACAUUGUUUACCCUUGUUUCCCAUGAAUGAUUACUGUUACUAAGUCUUAAACUUUUAAAAGCACAAGAAGAAAUCGAACCGGGCGGGUGUUAAAGAAACAUCGAGCGGUGUCGCGGAUUUAGUUGCGAUGAGGUCGAAAGACUAGAUUAUGAUUAGGUCGUCAAGCACAAAGGCGAUUCUGAUCUCAUCACUUCUACACCGUCGCCGGCGUUCGACAGGACACAGCGCAGAGCGACCGCUUGGACAGAGGUCGCCGUACCUGACCACCACCCCGCUCGAUGGUACCGAGGAGCAGUCUCCCCCCCUUCCCUUUCCGCCGCGGAAACGUCGGUGCACCCUACCACCUAUCCAAGGCCGAUGAACGGUCCCCACCGCUGCCACCGUUACCGACGUAGUCGGUUUCCGCGAGGUCCAGACUGGCGGUUCCGUCCGGGCUACCACCGCUACCUCCCUGUCCACCAUUACAGUAAGAACUCACGAGUUCUAGACAGACCCUAAAGUCAUUGAACGUUGUAGUGUGCUUUCGUCAGGCUCCUCCGUUACCUGAAAGAUUCUUUGUCUAUCCCUGCUCUCCAGGACUGUUCCAACGUGUUCAUGGUCAACCGUGUCACUAAGUAGAUCAGGCUCCCCUCGCUGGCAGAAAGUGACAUUUAUUUGGUUGGUCUAGAGAUCUAGGGACCCUAUAGGGUCUACGACACCUACUGAGACGUCUGUCAAGGUUAGUCUUCUUGUUCCUACCGUAAUUACCUUUACGUCGACUUUCUCUUUCAUCGUUAGUCGCCCUCUUCGUUUGUAUGGGAUCAUGUACGAGGUUCUGACCCAAAAGUUUGCGACUUCUACCACUACGUUCAUCGUAAGUUGUAGUCCAGCUCAAACUACUGCUGCUACUUCUUAAAACCCUCCUACUUCUGCUCUGCCUCCUUCUCCGAGAUCUACGUCUACUCCUCUCCCUUCUUCUACUGUAUGUCAUAAGACAACGACUUUACUGUUCUGGACCCGUUGCCAACUAGCAUCGUGUUCCUCCCCUCCCACCCGAUCCCUUACGAAGAUAGCCGUCUCUGCAGGCAGAUAGGUUUCCUUUAUCUGUUCUCCUCCAUCGGGUAAAUUCAUGACCUGUCCGUCCUUGUCUCAGAAAAGAACAGAAUCUUGACUUCUCGUAACGACUACAACCGGAACAACCAAACGGAUUACGGCCCUUCUCGUGUGAAGACUCACGAGAGAGAUCCCGAGCGGGCGUCUAGCGACUGAUACGCAAGUGGUGUGACUCCGGGUUAUAACCAUCGGACUGGAUGCUGCUGAUGAACAGUCACUUUCAACGACUGUAUGGACCAGAAUAGUUUCCACGGGUACUCUUGGCACCGGACCCGGUACGGAAGAACUCCGUGUAACUCGCGUGGUUUCAAGACAGGAUACAUGAACUGGACCGUCGUUGUGAGUUGCCAUCCUUCCCAUAGGGUGGUACCCUCGUCGAUGCGCUAGACCAGCACCUCGAUCUCGAAAUGGUUCUUCCGUACUGUUUCGCGGGUAGCAACUAACAGCGUUUGUUUUAUCUACUUCUCCCUCGACUUCGCUACAUACUUCUUGACUUCUCCUCUCACGUUCCACAAGGCUAUAAAGGUCACACACGGUAGAACGUUCUCCCUUAUGGACUAGACUCUCAACCGGACUCUCUGGAAUACCUACGGAGCCUAGGCGUUCCACAGCCAAACUCGUUUUAAUAACAUCUGAUUUUCCGAAACGGAGAGCAACCUCUUCUUAACAAGAGACUAAGAAAGGGGAACUCGUGACAGACGAACGUCUACGUGACAUAUAGGCACAACGUUUUUAACGAGAUUAAAAGACACAACGUCUUAUCUAGUAGGUAACAAAAUCUUUUAAGUCACAUUAUUAUUGCUUCCCAUUGGUCAUACAUACGAAACCAGAAAGUAUCCUUGUCGUUACGCAUGAUGGUUUUUCCAAGUAAGUUCACGAUAAAUCUCAGGAUUUAUACCGUCAAUUGUAAAAAAGACCUUUAUUUAUAUUAAACUAAAC